ACACUGAUAAACUCUCCCUUUCCCAAACUCAUCUUCAACCCCCUUGCACUGCCUGUUUAAUUCAGCGUCAUCAGAAAAUAACCCCAAAUGUCUUGCACUCCUGGCUUCUGCUGAUAGAGCUAAGUUUAUAUAGACUCUUGGACAACAUUUCCAGGUUGCUGCUGGUCGAGCACCCUUUCACAGUUCAAGGAGAAAGGGCUUAAGACCCUGAAAAAAAAAAUUUAUAGGAAAAUUUCCCCAAAAGGUAAGCACAAUAAAAAGUCAAAAGGAGGUACGGGCUGAAGAAUGACUUCCUGCAAUGUGUAAUUUCAAGGCCUUGGCAACCACCUUUCUACUUUCCAAUUCUAUAAUUUUUAACCACUUUAGAUACUUCAUGUAAGUGAAAGCAUACAGUAUUGUUCUUUUGUGACUGGCUUAGUUCACUUAGCAUAAUGUCCUUGAGGUUUAUUUUUGUGGCAGCCUGUGCUUCUUUUGAAGUCUGCGAGAUUCUCCAUUGUAUGUAUAUACCACAUUUUCUUUAUCCAGUCAUUGGUCAAUGAACAUUUUGGUUGCUUUUACCUCUCGGCUAUUGUGAAUAAUGCUGCAAGAACAUGGAUCUUCAAAUAUGACUUCAAGAUUCUGCUCUGAAUUCUUUUUGAUAUAGACACAAAAGUCGGAUUGCUCGGUCAUAUUGUUAAUACCAUUUUAAUUUUUUGUGGAACCUCCAUUCUGUUUCCCUUAAUGGCUGUAUCAUUUUACAUUCCCAUCAGUGGUGCUCAUGGGUUCCAAUUUCUCUGUAUCCUUGCUAAUACUUGCUACAUUCUGUUACUUUGAUAAUGGCCCUCCUAAGUAAGGUGUGUGAGAUGACAUUUCAUUGUGUUUUUGAUUUGCAUUUAUCUUAUGAUUCAUGAUAUUAACCACAUUUUUAUAUGCUUGGUGACUAUUUGUAGAUCUUCUUUGGAGAAUAACAUAUUCAAGUCUUUUGCCCAAUUUUAAAACUGGAUAGCUUAUGACAUUUUUAUCUAAGAAAAAAUUGGCAGUUGUGCCAAAGGCCGAUUCUCAUGGGGAAUGAAGUCACUUUCUGAAAGGAAGUUUGUAGAGCAUAUGCGGCAGCUGUUCCCUCCUCUUGCUACCUCACUCUCUAUAAAUUCAAAAGGCAUCUAGAAUUUCUGCAGCAAAUUUUUUGAAGGAUAGCUAAGACUUUUGAAGGACUGGUUAUGAACGAGCCACAAAAGUGUCUUGUGAAUGUUCAAAUUAUCCUAGUCUUACCUUCAGACUCGGGCAAACUGCUAUAUAAAAUUAACUUGUUUUUCUGUUUUUUUGUUUUUGCUUUUUGUUUUGUUUUGUUUUGAGAUGGAGUCUCACUCUGUUGCCCAGGCUGGCGUGCAGUGGCGAGAUCUCAGCUCACUGCAACCUCCGCCUCCUGGGUUCAAGGAAUUCUCCUGCCUCAGCCUCCUGAGUAGCUGGGAUUACAGGCACGCACCACCACGCCUGGCUAAUUUUUGCAUUUUUAGUAGAGAUAGGGUUUCACCAUGUUGGUCAGACUGGUCUCGAACUUCUGACCUCGUGAUCCACCCACCUCAGCCUUCCAAAGUGCUGGGAUUACAGGCAUGAACUACCGCGCCGGGCCUUUUCUGUUUAUUUUAAUGUAAAACAUGCAAAAUGCAUUCUAACAGCCACCUCUGCCAUUGGCAAUUAUUACUUCAAUUGUAUUUCAAAAUAUCAAACCUAUAAAUAUACCAUUAGAAAUGAAGAAUCUUA
ensembl:lncRNA novel transcript